rnacentral:rRNA from 1 species
UGCCAGCCGCCGCGGUAAUACGGAGGGGGCUAGCGUUGUUCGGAAUAACUGGGCGUAAAGCGCGCGUAGGCGGUUUGUUAAGUUGGCUGUGAAAGCCCCGGGCUUAACCUGGGAGGGUCAGCCAAAACUGGCAAACUAGAGUGCAGUAGAGGGCAGUGGAAUUUCUGGUGUAGCGGUGAAAUGCGUAGAUAUCAGAAGGAACAUCGGUGGCGAAGGCGGCUGCCUGGACUGACACUGACGCUGAGGUGCGAAAGCGUGGGGAGCGAACAGGAUUAGAUA